rnacentral:rRNA from 1 species
GGGGGAUAUUGCACAAUGGAGGAAACUCUGAUGCAGCAACGCCGCGUGAGUGAAGAAGGUUUUCGGAUCGUAAAACUCUGUUGUUAGAGAAGAACAAGGAUGAGAGUAAAAUGUUCAUCCCUUGACGGUAUCUAACCAGAAAGCCACGGCUAACUACGUGCCAGCAGCCGCGGUAAUACGUAGGUGGCAAGCGUUGUCCGGAUUUAUUGGGCGUAAAGCGAGCGCAGGCGGUUUCUUAAGUCUGAUGUGAAAGCCCCCGGCUCAACCGGGGAGGGUCAUUGGAAACUGGGAGACUUGAGUGCAGAAGAGGAGAGUGGAAUUCCAUGUGUAGCGGUGAAAUGCGUAGAUAUAUGGAGGAACACCAGUGGCGAAGGCGGCUCUCUGGUCUGUAACUGACGCUGAGGCUCGAAAGCGUGGGGAGCGAAC